GCCUAAGGGAGCUGCCUGGGCCCCUGGUCUGAGCUGCUGUAGGCGGCUGCCCUCGCUGCCAGGACGCCCGGCCUCCUUCCUGGCAGCUCCCGCUUCCAGGACUGCGCAGCGGAGGUACCGCGCGCCUGCCGGCUGCCGGGACAGUAACUCCUUAGGGGGUAUCGGAGCUCCUUCCGAGCAGUUACCUAACGACGGCAGCGUCAGCACGCCCGAUCCUCGGUACGUGACCAAAGGCUACAGGAAAUGCCUGGCACCGGGAGGAGAGGUAAAGAACGAACCCUGGUGAAGUGAAGUUGGAUUUCUUGCUUCUCCUUGGCCCCGGCGCUAUUUACUGCGAAGCCGCUCCGAUGUUGCGUGGGUUGGUAACGGUGCAGAGACCUGUGGUCGGCUGGCGGCGGGGGAGCACGACACGCUGCGCUGCUCCUGGAUGUGCAGGUCCGGUCCGGACGUGCUGCUGAACGGAAGCAAAACCAGCACCAGUGAGAAAUUCAGAGCUACCAGUACAAUACUCCUCCAUGUGCAGGCCUCACGGUAAACAGGGUGACCAGCGGGAUUUCAAAAAAGAUCAGCUUUUCUGGCCCUUCGGAUACAGUUACGUCCUGCCAACAGUAAUUGUCUCAGCUGGUGCCUUACUUGGCAAGAUCAUCUCAGCAAGCUCCUGCUCCAAGUAGAUCCCUGCUGGGCUCUAUGCAGACCAAGCUCCCAGCCAAAGGGUCCAGCCCAAAGCCCUCACAAACUGUGUGGGAUAUCUGCAGUUGGUGGGCUUGGGACUACCACCAGUGACAGCUGACAGAAUCCGGCUUCCUGGAUGUUUCCUGAGCAUCCCUGUGCCCCAGCGCUAGCAUUUUUCUCAUCAGCACAAAAGAAAUGGUAAGCUGUUUGUUUCAAGCCUUUAGGGCCAUCUCAAGGUCCUAUUUCCCACACCACCCUCAGAUCUUUCCAGAACAUAAUUCAUCGGAUGUCCUCUACAGAAAAUGAGCACUCACAGCACUGUCCCAUCAGGUCUCAUACCAGCCUUGCUCUCAUUGAGGCUGGCUAGUACUGAUUUAUCUCAAGCUGCACCUCUUGGAAGAGUGUUACUGUGAAUGUAGUGGUACACCCAGCCAGACUGUCACUCUUCACUUUUCUAAUAGAAAAACAUCAAUAGAAAAUGUAUUUUUAAACUUUUAACUUUUUGACAGAAACUAUUCAUGCAUUCAAAUCAAACUGACACCUUGGCUCUACAUUUUUCUCCAGUGAACAAAUUAAUUGGAAAUUUUUGCUCAGUGCUCUUAAGAAACUUUGUCUUGCUGAAACAGCAGGCCAAAUUAUCUACUGGGUGAGUUCCAAUAGCAUCAGUUCCCCAUUGUUCCCUUCUGAGUGUCAUAAAUUUGUCCAUUCCUUUGCCACCUGAUAGAUGACUUACAGCUUUUUUGCUAUUUGGUGUUGCAAAACAUGCUUCAAAGACAUGCUUCAGCUAGUCAGGCUAAUUACCAAAACAGUAUGCUUGAGUAUUCUCUAUUUGUCAUUCCACACAUUAGACUCUUGCAAUAUUAUAAAUGUGGUUUAAAAUUUAACACGUUAGACCUAGAAGCUCUUACAUUAUUUAGUCUCCUUUAUAAUUUGUACCAGGGCUCUCAAAAACAAACAAAAAAAACCCCCCAAAACUCCCACCAUUUUGUCCAACUCAAUAUACAAUGCACUGGUUGUACCUCUAACCACUUCUAUACAUUCCUACAUCUCCAUUAGAAGAAGAAGAAAAGAAAGAAAAGCAAAGCAUAUCCUGCUGGCUUUAAUAAGCUCUCUGAACUAUUGUUCUUGCCAAAAGCAGCUGUAGAUGCCUGUUACAAUAAUCCACAUUUCAUACACCAAAUGCAUCGCUAUUGUAUUACUGCAGCAACUACUACCUUUAAAAUGUAGCUUAAAAAUUGGUAUUUUCUCUGGAUUUUGCAUGGUUGUCCUUUGGGUUUCCAGCAAUGUGGCAAAACAGAGAAGCUUAAGAUGAAGUAGUCAGGGACUGGGGAGGUGGAGGUGGCAGAGUUAUUACUAUUUAAUGUUAGUAUCAGCCCAAGUGCCUGGAGGCUCUUCUGAAAUCAUUGUUCCAGUGUGGUAGACAUCCUGUGUAUGUAUGGGGAGAGACACUGACUGUCUGGAGAGGCUUGCUAUCUAAAUAAAUGCAGCAAGAGGCAGCUGGAAAGAGAAAUGAUUAUCCCCAAUUUUACAAUCAGGGAGCUAAAAGAAAGAGGCAUUAAAUGACUUGUUCAAGGUCACCCAGGGGGAGCUUGAACAAAUGCCAGCACAGUGCCCAAACAAGACAAAAAUAGCACGUUUUACUUCCACUAAUGUCUCCCCCCUCUCGUGAGAAGCCUCCUCAACUUCACGGUCUCCAUCUUGUUCCAUUUCCAACUACUUUUGGGGGUCAGGGCAGACCGGGAGUUCGAAGUGGAAAGAUGGGAAUCUGAGCUUUCAAUCACUUGGUCCGAAACAAGAUGCGUCAGGGUGCUUGUGUGCUCUGCUGCUCCCAGUGCCUCUAACCACGGCACUGUAUUGGAGAUGUGUAGAGCAUGCCACAGCAUUUGGGCUGCAUGCAGUGUGCUGCUUCAUGUGGCUUUUUAAUGAGAGAUCAAAAGCUUGGGGUAAAAAGGAUGACUAUACCUCGACUCCUCUUGAAUUUGGAUUUCUUAAUGUUUUAGGCUCCCUAAGAACUUUCUUGUGGGCCCCAUGCUUACUACCAGUCCUACAGACCUCAUAUGGAUGUUGUUCUUAAUGUGACUCCAACCCAACAAAACAUUUCAGAUCAUGAGUCAUGCCAGCAAAAUCCUUGGGACUACAAACAGGUCUAAGAUCUCUGCUUGCUUCAUGGGACAGAAUUCUUUCCUGGGUUUGCCAAACAGAGCCCAUCAUAUCCUAUUAAAAGCCACAAAGGAUCCAAAAGAGAGAAAAACAGUAGAAAUGCCAGAGCUGCCUGUGAGUGGACAUGGACAAAUGCAGUGCGAACUGCACAGAGUAUAGUCUCUCGCUCUGAACCCAUCACUAAACCAUUGCAUGUUUUCCUCCAUCUACGAGGAGGUCCUUUUGUCCCCAUUUAUCCUUCAGUUACAGGUACUGUGCCUGAUAACUGAGGCACAAGGAGCUAAGACUUACUGCAGGU